UGGUUGUUAGCUUACUGGUAUAGCAUUCGGCUUUUAACCGAAGGAAUGAGCCCAUACCUCUGUGCAGAUGUAUCCAUAGGGAACAACCAC
rnacentral:tRNA from 1 species